rnacentral:lncRNA from 1 species
UGGGUGUUUCUGACCUAGUGGAGGUCAUCGGAGAAAUCUACAUUACUGGAUCAGAGUUGUCCAAGGCAAAAGAGUUGAUGGUUCAAGAGUUGAACUAGCUUAAAGUGCCAUCAUACUUUGAGCUUUUGCACAAAGAUCUCCUCAGAAAGCUAUACUUCGAAGGUCCACCUCCUAAAGGUGAGUGUAGGCAUCCAUUCAUUUAACCUUAAAGUAGUAGAGCAAAAUAUGAUGACUUUUCUAUGUGUAUGCAAGUCUGGCAUUCUCUGGGGAGGAGUGGAGGGGAUGAUCGAUGCUGACCCCAAAGAGAAGAAAAGGAAGGAGAAGAAGAGGAGGAGGGUCAUACGAUCAUCUUCUCCUAAGGCUAUUGCAGUCGAGGCUGCCAUUACUAAGGCUGUGGAGCAGAAAGAGAAAUGGUCGAAAAAGAAGCACGACGCCUCUCCUUUGGAAGCUGCAGAGGUCAUUGUGGCUGAUGUAGCUCUUACUAGGUGCGGUCCUCUUAAGGUCGUAAGAGAGAGCACUCCUACCCUUCUAAAUGCUUCUCAACCUCCUACUAGUAGUUCGGUGCC